rnacentral:lncRNA from 1 species
UAAGAACGCAUUGCAGGUCAGCUGGCUGAACCUCAUUGUGACCUGGGAGCCCUGCAUGAUGAAGGGAUGAUGGGUGAGCUACCAAGGCUAACUUUUUCCUGAGGACAUUGAGUUAGGGAAGUGGCCUCUCCUUGAGGGAAGGAGCCAGAUGACUUCUCAGAGAACAACAACCAUAUUCAAAAUAUUCUCAAGUUUCUUUUGUUUCUUCUUGUCUGCAUCUGAUAUCCAGGACAUUAUUCCACAGGAAAAGGUUAACAGGAGAUCAAGAUCGGCCAGGAGAACCCCACUAUGAAGCCGGUCAGGUGGGGAGACAGCACUUCCAUUCUCUUUAAAUGACAGAAAUGUCUAAUUUCUGAGACUCUCUGUCUUGUGGAGCACUGUCGUCUUCAUGGACACAGGCAGGAUGGCAAGGCUCAAGGGUGGUAUUCAACAAUUUUUUCAGUUUCUACAGCAAAUUUCUAAUACUAGCUGCAUAUCUAUAAAAUCAUCAGAUCAUUGGAAGGUAAUUACUUUCUAUAUUGCAGAUGGAGUUCUAUUAGGUUUUCACUGAGGCAUCAAUAAAUAAUGACACAAUUUCUCAAUAAAAAGAACUCAUUUGGUAAAUUUUCCAAGACAGCUAUUUUCUUGCUCGCUGAAGACAUGACAAGCAAUAUAAGUUGAAAUAGAAACUAAAUUUGUCUUAAUUAUAUCUAUGUAUUCUAGG